GAUGAACGCUGGCGGCGUGCUUAACACAUGCAAGUCGAACGGUGAAGGCGGAGCUUGCUCUGCUGGAUCAGUGGCGAACGGGUGAGUAACACGUGAGCAAUCUGCCCCUGACUCUGGGAUAAGCGCUGGAAACGGCGUCUAAUACUGGAUACGAGCUGCGAAGGCAUCUUCAGCAGCUGGAAAGAAUUUCGGUCGGGGAUGAGCUCGCGGCCUAUCAGCUUGUUGGUGAGGUAAUGGCUCACCAAGGCGUCGACGGGUAGCCGGCCUGAGAGGGUGACCGGCCACACUGGGACUGAGACACGGCCCAGACUCCUACGGGAGGCAGCAGUGGGGAAUAUUGCACAAUGGGCGAAAGCCUGAUGCAGCAACGCCGCGUGAGGGACGACGGCCUUCGGGUUGUAAACCUCUUUUAGCAGGGAAGAAGCGAAAGUGACGGUACCUGCAGAAAAAGCGCCGGCUAACUACGUG
rnacentral:rRNA from 1 species